GGCUCAGAUCCAGCGUUGCUGUGGCUGUGGCAUAGUGUGGCAAAUGAUGCUCUGAUUUGACCCCACACUGGGAACUUCCACAUGCUGCCAGUAUGGCCCUAAAAAAUAAAUAAAUAAUACCGUUUUAGCCAUUUUUAAGUUGCAUGUCUGUUGCAUUCAGCAUAUUCACAUUGUUGUACCACCAUGACCACCAUCCAUCUUUAGAAUUUUUCAUCUUCCCAAGCUGAAACUCUAUACCCAUUAACCACUAACUCCCAAUUCCUUCCUCCCCCAGCCCCUGGCAACCACCCUUCCACCUUCUGUCUCUAUGAACUUGACUCUAUUCUAGGAACCUCAUGUACGUAGAAUCAUAUAUUAUGUCUCCUUUUCAUAUGGAAGUUCCCAGGCUAGGGGUCAAACCCGAGCUGCAGCUGCCAACAUACACCACAGCCACAACAAUGCCAGAUCUGAGCCACAUCUGUGACUGGAACGCUGUGUCCCAUUCUGGUCACUGAACUAAGUGGAGCUGCAAGAAAAGUCCGAGACACCUGUAUAUACCUGCUACCUAGACAGAGGAGGGAGGGAUCAAGGCACCUGGCUGCCUCGGAUGGAGCAGAGAGCCUCCGAGGCCUUGCUCUGAAUUUACGGCAAAAAGAAAGACACUGGCUGGAUUCCCCUGAAGCAGAUUCAGAGACAGGCUGUGAAUGCCAGCCGUCUGUUUGGGAGGUGAUCACAGGAAGCUCAGGGAGGGGUGGAGAGGUGACACAGGGCUUCCUGGAGACUGUGUAGUGAGUGUCUGAGUUAUCCCUCCAAGGUGGGGAGGGGGGAGCUGGGGUCUCUGUGCACGGAGCCCCCUCCUGCUGUGAGCUCAUCCACCCACCAAGCAUCCGCAGCCUUGGGCAGCGGCUUCCAAGUGCUGGCAGUAGAGCCUAAGGGAGCAGUGACCCCAGGUGGACAGGCAGGACACCAUCUACACCUGUUCCGUGUGCCUUGUCUGAAACUUUGAGCCCGGGCUGCCUCGGCAGAUGUCUGCACCAAAGCCCCAACUCCUGAUGAGGAACAAAGCCUUUGCGAUUUUGGUGAGUUUCAUAGCCUCAAUGAUUCAUGCCCUCUGCAAUAUUAAUCACUUUCACAAGACCGAAAAUGAGCAAACUUUACAUUUUCUCAAAAUCCAAAUUCCCUUUUCAAAAUCCCUCUGCUUUCUUCCUUCCCUAAAUGAAAUAUGUGUGCUCUGAGGAUGUUGGCAUGCUCAACUUACAGAAAAGGGGAUUUUAAUGAAUGAUUUUAAAACUUUCAUCGUAAUUUGCAAGUUGUAAGAUUCAUGCCUCCUCUCCCUUUCCUUUCCCUUUGCCUCCUUACUCCUUAUUCAUUUCUCUUUUUUAAAAAAAAUUAAAAUAGAAAUUCCAGGAGUGCCCUGGUGGCUCAGCAGGUUGAAGAUCUGGCAUUUUCACUGCUGUGGUGCCAGUUGGACCCCUGGCCUGGGAACUUCCGUAUGCCACGGGCAUGGCCAAAAGUACAGAAUAGAAAUAGAAGAGAAUAGAAAAUAGAAUGGAAUAGAAUAAAUAAAAUCCAAAUAAGACAAUUACUAUCCCAAGGGGCCAAGUCAGCAUUUUCUUAAGUUUCUAUAGAACACCGCUCCCUGGAAAGCGUCCUCAACAGGGUGUUAAGGUCAGGCGUCGGGGGCUGUAGCUUGGGUUGCUCCUCUGGCACAGGUUCGAUUCCUGGCCCAGGAACAUCCGAAUGCUUUGAGUCCCCCCCCACCCCCCCACCCCCACUGCCCCAAAACCCAUUAAGAUCAGACGGGCUGUGAAAUCCCAUGUACUCCAUUCUUUUCUUGGAGCCCUGCAUUCACACCAGCAUGCUAAAGGGUUCUGAGGAAUCCGGGUGACAUUGUUUAGACACAUAUUUAGUUAGUUUCAGUGGAUGUUUCCAGUGUUAUUGGAGCAGGAACCCUUAUUAUUAUUAUUUUUUUUAAUCUCCAUGCCCUCAGCAUGUGGAAGUUCCCAGGCCAGGAACUGAACCUGAGCUACCACAGCAACCUGAGCCACUGCAGUGACAGUGUCAGAUCCUUAACCCACUGCGCUAUGAGAGAACUUCUUUAACCUUUAAAGCAUCCCGGUCACUCCCCAGACUGCUAGUAUUGGGUGAAAACCAUUUGAGGAAAUGCUCCUCAAAACACAUACCCCAGCUCUCUCGGUACAUCUGAAAUGAAGAGGUGUUGGGAUAGACUGGUGGGAGUCAGUGGGCGAAGGAAAAUUGUAGCUCAGAGUUUGCACUGUUUGUUGUAACU
rnacentral:lncRNA from 1 species